rnacentral:rRNA from 1 species
GACGUAGGGUGCGAGCGUUGUCCGGAUUUAUUGGGCGUAAGGAGCUCGUAGGCGGCUCGUCGCGUCGACCGUGAAAACCCGCAGCUUAACUGCGGGCUUGCGGUUGAUACGGGCGGGCUAGAGUUCGGUAGGGGAGACUGGAAUUCCUGGUGUAGCGGUGAAAUGCGCAGAUAUCAGGAGGAACACCGGUGGCGAAGGCGGAUCUCUGGGCCAUUACUGACGCUGAGGAGCGAAAGCGUGGGGAGCGAACAGG